AUUGAACGCUGGCGGCAUGCCUUACACAUGCAAGUCGAACGGCAGCAUGGAGAGCUUGCUCUCUGAUGGCGAGUGGCGAACGGGUGAGUAAUGCAUCGGAACGUACCGUGUAAUGGGGGAUAACGUAGCGAAAGUUACGCUAAUACCGCAUACGACCUGAGGGUGAAAGCAGGGGAUCGCAAGACCUUGCGUUAUACGAGCGGCCGAUGUCAGAUUAGCUAGUUGGUGAGGUAAAGGCUCACCAAGGCGACGAUCUGUAGCGGGUCUGAGAGGAUGAUCCGGCACCCUGGGACUGAGACACGGCCCAGACUCCUACGGGAGGCAGCAGUGGGGAAUUUUGGACAAUGGGGGCAACCCUGAUCCAGCCAUGCCGCGUGAGUGAAGAAGGCCUUCGGGUUGUAAAGCUCUUUCGGCCGGGAAGAAAUCGCACAGGCUAAUACUCUGUGUGGAUGACGGUACCGGCAUAAGAAGCACCGGCUAACUACGUGCCAGCCGCCGCAGUAAAAC
rnacentral:rRNA from 1 species